UCGCGUCGUCUUCCUCGCAGAACCGCGCCACCGGCCGUCGCUGGGAACCAGGGGACUCGCCUCUGCGCGCCGCCCUCCGGCUGCCGCGAGACAACGGCGAUUGUCGAGGAGACAAGCCUCUCGCCGCUCAACCUGACUCAAGAAGACAAGGGUGUUUACGCAAAAUUACCACACCGGGCUGAGAGACCUGGACUCCUCGUCCAUGCCGUGCGAACUAGUAAACGGUCAACAUUACAAAGAGGCCCUAAAGGAAAUACCAAUUCGCGGUAAAGCUCCCCGCCUCAUCAGCCCAUCAUCCUUCCAGCGGCCACACGGCGAUGGCGGUGGCUGUGGCGGUUGCGGGAGUGACCACGACCCACCGUUCCUGCUGCCUCCCCUCCGCUCACCGGAGGACUCAGCAUCGCCGCCGGCGUCCUGCUCCUCCGCGCGCUUCGGGAGCAGUGGAGGUGCGGGUCUGCACGAACCGCACGUGCGCGCGGCAGGGCGGGCGCGAGGUCCUCGCUGCGCUCGCGGGCCUCGCGCCCCCGCGCGUCGACGUGGACUCCUGCGGGUGCCUCGGCCGCUGCGGCGCGGGGCCCAACGUCGCCGCCUCCGUCGCCGGGAGUGCCGCGGUGUUCGGCCACGUGGGCACGGCGGCGCGCGGCGCGCAGCUCCUGGAGCACCUCCUCGGCGCUGCGGAGUUCAACGUGGCCGCGGAGUUCGCCGCACUCGCCGCGCGGGAGAAGGCCGAGGCUGCCCUCGAGAAGGGAAGCGCGGCCGAAGCGGAAGUCCUUCUGAAUGGGGUUAUUGGGCUCAACGCUUGUGGUGGUAUGCAUUUGGUGUACAGGAGCAGGUCUAAGGCGAGACUAGCAAUUGGGGAGAUCUCUGGUGCGCUUGAGGACGCCGAGGAAGCAAUAAGAAUAUCCCCCAAAUUUACUCAGGUAUUUGAUUUGCUUGGAACCUCCAAAUUUCCUAGGCAUCACUUCGCUUGUAUAUUCAUAUCAUGCCUUGUUAUUCAUGUUAUGAUAUGCAUCUCCCUGGGAAUAAGCCUCAAAAGUACCAAUUAUGAUGUCUAUCUAUGUUUUCAUUGUCUCAACUAUAAAUUGGCUGGUUGCUUGGUUCCAGUCGCCAAUGUUUGCUGCAAACUUGUGUGAGUGCCUACACGGUUGCUAGUAACUUUGUGAUAGGUGAAUCGAGGAAGGCUUGGUACUUGUUAUACCAAUGAAUACAACCAAAUAGUACUAACACCCAGUCAAACCCAUCUUUAGGCAUGUCUUUUCGCCAAACUGCCGCUGUUUUUGUUGUUAUUACUAAGUGUGCCAUGGUCCUUGCUGCCUUUAUUGAUGCUGGAUUUGCAGGCUCACUUGUUGCGAGGAGAUGCGCUUCUUACGAUGGGUGAAUAUUGUGCUGCAGAAAAUGCUUAUGCAGAUGCGUUGAAUCUUGAUCCCUCUAUUCGCCGGUCCAAGUCUUUCAAGGCCCGUGUGGAAAGGCUAUGUGAGAAGCUUGUCAGUGCCACUAAUCCAUAGCUCAUUUGGAAACUUCCUCCCCAUCUGAAGUUCCUCCCA